rnacentral:rRNA from 1 species
AGAGUUUGAUCCUGGCUCAGGAUGAACGCUGGCGGCNNGCUUAACACAUGCAAGUCGAACGAGAAAGGGGAGCAAUCCCUGAGUAAAGUGGCGUACGGGUGAGUAACACGUGGGUAAUCUACCUUUUGGUGGGGAAUAACGAUGGGAAACCAUCGCUAAUUCCGCAUGAGAUAGUAGAGGAGCAUUCUUCAGCUAUUAAAGAUUCAUUGGUACAAGAUGGGCCUGCGGCUGAUUAGCUAGUUGGUGGUGUAACGGACCACCAAGGCUGUGAUCAGUAGGGGUUCUGAGAGGAAGAUCCCCCACACUGGCACUGAGAUACGGGCCAGACUCCUACGGGAGGCAGCAGUGGGGAAUUUUCCGCAAUGGGCGAAAGCCUGACGGAGCAAGACCGCGUGGGGGAAGAAGGCUCUUGGGGUUGUAAACCCCUUUUUCUCUGGGAAGAAAGUUGUGAAAGCAACCUUGACGGGUACCAGAGGAAAUCAGCAUCGGCUAACUCCGUGCCAGCAGCCGCGGUAAGACGGNAGGAUGCAAGCGUUAUCCGGAAUGAUUGGGCGUAAAGCGUCCGCAGGUGGCAGUUCAAGUCUGCUGUCAAAGACCGGGGCUUAACUUCGGAAAGGCAGUGGAAACUGAACAGCUAGAGUAUGGUAGGGGCAGAGGGAAUUCCUGGUGUAGCGGUGAAAUGCGUAGAGAUCAGGAAGAACAUCGGUGGCGAAGGNNCUCUGCUGGACCAUAACUGACACUCAGGGACGAAAGCUAGGGGAGCGAAUGGGAUUAGAUACCCCAGUAGUCC